rnacentral:rRNA from 1 species
CCUACGGGAGGCAGCAGUGAGGAAUAUUGGUCAAUGGGCGUAAGCCUGAACCAGCCAAGUCGCGUGAGGGAUGAAGGUUCUAUGGAUUGUAAACCUCUUUUAUAAGGGAAUAAAGUGUGGGACGUGUCCUGUUUUGUAUGUACCUUAUGAAUAAGGAUCGGCUAACUCCGUGCCAGCAGCCGCGGUAAUACGGAGGAUCCGAGCGUUAUCCGGAUUUAUUGGGUUUAAAGGGUGCGUAGGCGGCAUUCUAAGUCAGGGGUGAAAGUCGGUGGCUCAACCAUCGCAGUGCCGUUGAAACUGGGAGUCUUGAGGAUGUUAGAGGUAGGCGGAAUGCGUGGUGUAGCGGUGAAAUGCAUAGAUAUCACGCAGAACUCCGAUUGCGAAGGCAGCCUGCC